rnacentral:rRNA from 1 species
GACGAACGCUGGCGGCGCGCUUAACACAUGCAAGUCGAGCGAGAACCAGGCCUUCGGGCCUGGGGAAAGCGGCGAACGGGUGAGUAACACGUGGGCAACCCACCCUUGGUACCGGGAUAGCCCGGGGAAACCCGGAUUAAUACCGGAUGGCCCAGCAGCUCUUCGGGGCGGCUGGAAAAGGUAGCUUCGGCCUCCGACCAAGGACGGGCCCGCGGCGGAUUAGCUUGUUGGUGAGGUAACGGCUCACCAAGGCGACGAUCCGUAGCUGGUCUGAGAGGGCGAUCAGCCACACUGGGACUAGGACACGGCCCAGACUCCUACGGGAGGCAGCAGUGGGGAAUCUUGCGCAAUGGGCGAAAGCCUGACGCAGCGACGCCGUGUGGGGGAAGAAGGCUUUCGGGUUGUAAACCCCUUUCAGGAGGGACGAAGCCACUCGGGUGAAUAGCCCAGAGGGUGACGGUACCUCCAGAAGAAGCCCCGGCUAACUACGUGCCAGCAGCCGCGGUAAAAC